rnacentral:rRNA from 1 species
AUGGCAGCGGAGCCUCUCUCCAAUGGCGCCGCCCACCAGUCAGUGCCUGGACGCUACAUACUCCCCGUGCACAAGAGGCCGUCUUAUUCCGGGAAUGGCAAGGUGGCACCGCCGAUGCUGCCUGUAGUUGAUCUCGGCGGAGAUGACGACGGCAGGAUCGCCGAGGAGAUCAUCCGCGCGGGGCGGGAGUUCGGUUUCUUCCAGGUGGUCAACCACGGCGUGCCGGAGGAGGUAAUGGGCGCCAUGAUGCGCGCGGCCGAGGAGUUCUUUGGACUGCCGGCGGAUGAGAAGAUGGCGUACUACUCGACCGACGGCAAGCAGCUCCCGCGGUUCCACACGAGCGUCCGGAACGGCGCCGGCGAGGAGUUCCUGUACUGGCGGGACUGCCUCAAGCUCGGCUGCCACCCGCCGGAGUGGCCGGACAACCCGCGCGGGCUCGGGGCGGCCCUGGAGCCGUACACGGCCGCCGUGAGUGCAGCGGCGCGGCGCGUUCUGCGCCUCGCCGCGGUCGGGCUGGGGCUCGGCGAGGAGCACUUCGAGGGGUCGCUCAGCGGCGGCGCGAUGAUGAACGUGAACCACUACCCGCCGUGCCCGGACCCGAGCCUCACCCUCGGCAUCGCGCCGCACUGCGACCCCGGCCUCGUCACCGUGCUCAUGGAGAACGUCGGCGGUGGCCUACAGAUGCUGCUCCACGACGAGGGCGAGGCUGGCGGCGGAGGAACGAUGUGGGUGGACGUGGACGCCGCGCCGGGGGCGCUGGUCCUCAAUUUUGGGCAUCAGAUGGAGGUGGUCAGCAACGGGCGCCUGCGCAGCGGCGAGCACCGCGUCGUCACCGGCGCGCGCGUCGCGCGGACCUCGCUGGCCUCGUUCGUGUGGCCCGAGCUUUGGUGCACCGUCGCGCCGGCGCAGGAGCUGGUGCUGGACGCAGGCGAGGGCCCUCUAUACAGGCCCUACUCCUACGGCGAAUUUCUCGGUGUGUACGUCGCCGAGGCUGGGGACAGGGACGCCGUCAUGGCGCAUUUCAAGCACUGA